CGCAGAAGUGGAGCCAAGACAACAGGAGGGGAAUGGCGGGAAUUUGUCUUGUUUCUCCUUAUUGGACUGGAACAAGGAAGUGACUGCUGACACUAAAAGAGUUCACAGACAGCCUUUUGUAAAACUGCAAUUGUGACAGAUGAAGAGAAAAGCAAGACUUUGCGAGAAAGAUGAAAGACUGCAGAUGACAUUUGGCUAUUGGUAACUCACCGACAUACAUGACCCCCUCCUUGGUCUUGGCGGCGGCCUCCUCCACGCCGGCUUUGGUCUUCUCUGCGGCUGCCACCACGCCGUCCUUGGCGAUAGAGAAUCCCUUCUUCAGAACGUCCAUGAUGCUUCGCUGCUGCUGCUGCUUCUCCUCCUCUUGCCGCCUCGACUGUCCCGUCCUCGUCCGGUCUGCUCUUCUUGCUAAUGGAGAGGGAGGGAGAGGGGAACAGGGGAAGGGAGGGGGACCGGGGCGAUGCCAACAUGGGAGGGAGAGGACAGAGAGUUAGUGGCGCAGAGGAAGGAGGAAGACCAAAAGGAAAACGUGGAAAGAGAAAGGAAGCUUUUUAUUCAUGGAUGUAAUUUCUGCUCGUCUUUCACCAGCAAUUAGUAUCAAUGUUCAUUUCCAACAAGAACUCUGUUCACAAAGCAUUGAAAAUGUUGCCACUGGUAGAGGAUGCAACAACGCCCUCCAGGGCAAAGGAGGCCUUCUAUUGGCUGAGAUUUAACUGCAGGAUCCUCGCUUGACUUUUUUUUUUUCUCUUAAGAAAAAAAAGAUCAUAAACUGGUCACAAAUCUUGAGGUGGCAGCACACCGCACUGCACUGCAUCAUACUGAGAGGGCUUUCCAAUAAGUGAAGUUUACAACUUUUAACAUUAUCAGGAGUUUAAUCGCAAUAAAUCAUGAAGUGAAGAAUUACCGUAAAUUCCGGACUAUAAGCCGCGACUUUUUUCCAAAAUUUUGAACCUUGCGGCUUAUAGUCAGGUGCGGCUUAUAUAAGGAUUUUUUCGUGAUUCAAGAUUUAAGAGUUUUUUAUUCGCCAUGUUUGAGCGUGCCAAACAAGGAAUUUUACAUUUAGGUGACUAACAACACUCAGGACAUGUGAAAAAUGGCCAAAAAAAUAAAAAAUAAAUUUCACUUUUAUACACUGCGGUAUCUUGAAGAAAAAAACAACAACAAAAAUACUAUUUUGAAACACUACUAUAUAUACCAGAGAUUACACAAAGCAGUGGCGCUGUUUGGACCAUCUGCAUUGUAUUAAAACCCAAUCAAUCAGCAUUUAAAUUAAAUUCUUCUGACAUUUUGCUCAUCAAAAACAAGUUGUAAUGAACGUGAACUUUUAAUGCAUUUUAUUCAGAAGGUUACUUUGAACCCCGGGGCUUAAAUGGCGGCGCGGGGUAUUUAUGGAUUUUUACGGCCUCCAGAGGGCGCUCUCGUAGGAAGCAAGUCGCUCUUGCUUCUUAUUCUUCUUAUUAUUAUUAUUUUGUGGUGUGCAAGGACUUGAGUCGGAGGCGGAGUGACAAACGACGGUGCCAACGGCAGUUGACAUUUAUAAUUAUUCUCAUUCAACAACGGCCAGACUCUUUUCCCUUUGAGAUCCUAACACACACACUAAACUAAACAGGAAAUUCCCACACGUGUAAACUGUCCCACCGGAACUAUGUAGCGUGAACUUAGGUUCCGGGUGAAUUAUGUAAACCCACUACAAUUUCUUCUUUGUCAGCGAGACAGACGAAGAAGAAAUAAUAAUAAGAAAUAAUGCGCCGAAAAAGACGUGCUAGUUUGUGUUUUGAACAUUUCGCGCAUCACGCACACACCCUCAUGGAAAACACACGAAGAAAUGCAUUUGAUGCAGCUUUUAAGUUAAAAGCAAUCGAUUUGGCUGUCAAAUAGGGAAAUAGAGCUUAAAUGGUGGCGCGGCGUAUAUAUGGAUUUUUACGGCCUCCGGGGCGCUCUAGCAGGAAGCAAGAGCGAGACAGACGAAGAAGAGAUAAUGCGCCGAAGAAGACGUGCUAGUUUGUCAAGACGGUUGCGUAACCCUUUCCUUUAUUUCGUGGUCCCGUCGACUCUGGAGCGAAACGUGUCGCUCGCUAGUUUAAUGUAAUUUAGCGCUUCGUGCAUGAAUAAAAUUACCAUGAACAGACCCUCAUCACACUCGAAGAAAUGAAUAAAAGCGACGACGAAAGAGAGACUGAUAAAGUGUGAGGCGAAGGAUAUCUAACGCUAUUCCAAUCGGACGCUGAGGAGGAAGGCUGGUUUCACCAUUGCACAGGAGGAAGAUGAAGACGAUGAAGCUCUUUUUUUACAUUUACUGGUAUGUUUUUUAACGAGCCCUGUUGGUGCUGUACUACCGUGUUGCUGCUGUGUUACUGCCGCGUCUCAGUGACUUUUACCGGGUAUGUUUUUUUUAAUCCAGCCCUAUUAGUCUUGUGUUACUUCCGUGUUGCUGCGGUAUUACUGCCGCGGCACGGGCAGUGUUUGGAAAGAAAUGUUAAGGUAUGUUAUUAAAACUUUAAAAAAGC